rnacentral:rRNA from 1 species
AGCUAUGGCCAUACCACCCUGAAUGUGCCUGAGCUUGUCUCAUCUCCGAAGUUAAGGAGGGUUGAGUCUGGUUAACACUUGAACAGACGUUUAAAGAUC